rnacentral:lncRNA from 13 species
UGGGAGCUCUUGCUUAUGAUGCACAGCUUGCACAUGCGCAUUGGCAUGCCCGGCUGGCCAGCAGCAACCUGGGUGCUCUGUGGCAGGGGCACCACAGCGGCAACAGAAAACGCUGAUGCCCGGGUCUGAGGCAGCCCCGGGCAAUGAGGCUGCCUGCCACAAGCUGAGCAGGAGCCCGACCGUCCUGACCUCAGUGGCACCCUGAGAUGACUUUCCUGUUCAGGUCUGCUGGAUGGGGAGGAUUCUUGAGACCAGGAGAAAACAUCAUCAUCUUGCUACAAAGUGUUUCCCUCAACUUGCUUUGACGGCCUCUACAUGGACACCCGUUUUCAACUUUUCCUGUCCAGAGAAAAACAAUUGCCAAUCACUUGUAUAGCAGGAAAGAGUUACUGGAGAGAGAAGAAAAAGAUGGUCUGUGUUGCAAAAGAAACCCCAGGCUCAAGACUGGAGAACUCAAUGUGCAAUUGCAAUGGCACUGGAGACAAUGAAAAUCGUGUCAGGACAACUUAACAACGGGUCUCUGUGUACAGGCCAUCAAAGCAAUUUAACCGAAACACUUUUUAGAAAGAUGAUGAUGCUUUCUUUCAAAAUAAUACAGUGAUUAAC